rnacentral:rRNA from 1 species
UACGUAGGGGGCAAGCGUUGUUCGGAAUUACUGGGCGUAAAGAGCUCGUAGGUGGUUUGUCGCGUUGUUCGUGAAAACCGGGGGCUUAACCCUCGGCGUGCGGGCGAUACGGGCAGACUUGAGUACUGCAGGGGAGACUGGGAAUUCCUGGUGUAGCGGUGGAAUGCUGCAGAAUAGUCAGGAGGAACACCGGUGGCGAAGGCGGGUCUCUGGGCAGUAACUGACGCUGGAGGAGCGGAAAGCGUGGGGAGCGAACAGG